AGCUGGUCCAGCUGGCAGCCCAGUGGUUUGGAGCAGGGAGAUGGGUACCCGACAUCGACCCUGGGGAGGAUGAGCAGUAAGAAGGGGGGACCCGAAGCUGCCCCAGGGAAGUGGCAGACGUCCUUCCACAGAGCCAACCCGAGCCGCUGCUGCCCCUCUGCUUGGAGUGGGCCUGGACCCCAGAGGCCUCCCAGAUCCCAAGACCUGGAGGGAGGGUGGCGACUGCUCUCCACGCCAAGCCAGGUUAGCCCCUAGCUCCCCAAACCAGCCCCAGCCUCAUCUGAGGCGGCAGCUGUCCAGGAAUGAGGACCUGUCCAGGAAUCAGGUGCCACGUGUGGCUUCCGCCAUCUCAAGCCCUAGGAACAGGCUCUGCAGUAGACAGGAGGCUGGGCCGGUGGGCCAGGAAAA